AUAUACCAUUACACUACGCUAAAAGCGGCAAAUGGUGGCGACCAUAUACCAGCGGUCUUCGGAAAUGCCGCUAAAAUACUAGAUUGUAAUUGUUUUGGUGAUGAUUUGAGAUAGGACUGCUAAAUCAAACAAUUUGGCUGUGGUUCAAGGACAAAACGCCGCACACACAAAAUCUCCAAUUUCCAAUUGGAAUUAAAAAGGGAAACCGCUCCCUCAGUGAUUCAAGAAAAAGUGAAAAACACAAAACCUCCACAUUCGCGGUUUCUGUCCCUGUCCCUGUCCCUUUCACGGUUGCGGGCGUGGUCGCGGUAGUCGGAGUCAGCAGAGGGUUUGGAAUCGGCUGCGGAAUCAGAGGAAGGUCGAUUAGGAGAAAGGAUUUGCUCUUGGCAAUGCUUCUAUUUGGCGAUUUUCUCCUGGCGACGCUUCUAUUUGGCAAUUUUCUCCUAGUGGCGCUGGAGUGCUAAUUGCUCGCGAUGGGUUUUGGUAAGGAAGACGGGCUUGGAUAGUGUGGCAGAGUUGGUGGCGACGGCCGGGGAGUAAGAUGACGUCAUCGAUUGAGGAUUUCAUGGCAGUUGGCUAUGCUCCUAUGAAGUAACAGAAAAAGAGGAAAAGGGAUCGCUUGGUUAAUUGCAGGUGGGGACAAGAGAACACACCACAAGACAAGAGUAGCUCAACACCAAGGAUCAAAGCAAACAAUUUGGCUGUGAACUUUUCUUUAAAUUACCUGCUCAUCAGGAGAUUGUGAAGAAACUAGUCAGUUGGAUUGAGAAUUAUAUCUAUCAUGGAAGUUGAUUUAUGGCACAAAAUAUACUUGAAUUUUUUUAAUGAUAUUAUUUUUGCUGGUCACAUGCAAUAUAUUAUUUUAAUAUUAAUCUUAAGAAGAUAUUUGUUUGAUUGUUACAAUGGGAUUAGUAUAGGAUUGACUAAUUUUAUGUCUAUUUUCGUGUUGAUUAUUUUUAGGAAUUGAGAUUUAUUUU